rnacentral:rRNA from 1 species
AGACGGAGGGUGCAAGUGUUAUCCGAAUUUACUGGGUUUAAAGGGUGCGUAGGCGGCUUAGUAAGUCAGUGGUGAAAACUAGCAGCUCAACUGUUAGCGUGCCAUUGAUACUGCUAGGCUAGAGUAUAGUAGAGGUGGGCGGAAUUCUACAUGUAGCGGUGGAAUGCAUAGAUAUGUAGAGGAACACCAAUAGCGAAGGCAGCUCACUGGGCUAUUACUGACGCUGAGGCACGAAAGCGUGGGGAGCAAACAGGAUUAGAUACCCCGGUAGUCC